CUGAAUGUCUUGCGGAUCUCCUCCGGAGUCUUGCCCUUGAUCAUGUCAGCAACCGUCUGGCAGGUCAGGUCCAGCAAUCCCUUGAUGUUCAGAUAGUUGGCAGCCUGAAAAUACAGUUCCAUUAUGUCAACCAGCAAUGGCAGAAAAUAACACAAAUCACGUCCAAUUACAUGUGGAUUGAAGUGUAUUGGAAUGAAUUUGGAUGGAUUUAAACCGACUCAAUACCACCCAAUCCACGUGGCGGUCAAACGAACAAUCCCCAAAGUGUGCAAAAGUCGCAAGUACAAGCCAAAUUCUGUCUGACUAGCUAGUUAAAUUAUCUCACUGCAAACCAAAUAUCAUCCCCGCCUGUAGCUAGCUUGAUACGGGUGCAUUGUUGUUACGAAUAAUAGCAACAGCAUGAUUUAUCAACAGUGUUCCUAGCCACAUCACAGUUUUUGUGGUUGAUUGAUUCCAGAGCAGCAGGGGCUAGUACAACAUCUCUUAUGAGAUAAAAAAAAUUGAUUGGUUACGGACCUCCACCACGACGCACAACCAAUCAAUCAAUAUAUACUGAUCUAAUCCGAACCCUAGAAAGACAGUAGCAGAUCUAAUCUAACCUAUACAUAGACAGGAAUCGCAAAAGAAGCAAGGGGAGGGGAGGUUACCGACCAGGAUGAGGUCGAAGAGCGUAGCCUGGUCCACCUUGACGAACUUCGCGUCCCAGCUCUUGAGGUCCUCGCCGCCCUCGGAGGCAGCGGAGUCAGCGGGUUUGGCGGCGGCGUGGACGUGACUGUUGCAGUACUCGAUGACCUUAGAGAGGAUCCUGGAGUUGACGUUGGGGAGCGGGAUGCCGUUGUCGGCGCAGUCGUCCUCGAUCAUGUGGCGGAGAGUCUGCGACUCCAUGGCCACCGCUUCCUCCACCUCGAACUCCUCUAAGUCGGAGCUCCUGAGCGUGAUCAUCCUCUUGUUUUCGCCCUCGGACGCCAUCGAUGGAUCGACGAGAGAUGAGGCGACGAAACCCUAGCUAGUUGCAGCGAUUUGAUCUGUGAUGGUCGAUUGCGAGGGAAACGCCUCUCCUGACUACUUUUCCUUCGAUUCGCCUGCCCUGCCCUCUUUAGUUUGGCCUCAUAAGUUAUUUAUGAAAGGUAGCCGGCAAUGAACAGAUUUAGAGGUGUUUGAAUGCACUAGAGCUAAUAGUUAGUCGCUAAAAUUAGUUAAGACAUCCAAACACUCUAGCUAAUAGUUUAGCUAUUAGCUAUUUUUGAUAAAUUAAUUAAUAGUUAGAUAGUUAUUUGUUAGCUAUCUAAUUCUACUAACAAUUUUUAGUCAACUAACUAUUAGUUCUAGUACAUUCAAACACUCCAAAUCUAAAAUAAAUUAUAUUUUAAGAUGGUGUGAGUAUUAUAUUAAUUAUCUUAUAUAAUAAUAAUUAUAAUAACCAAAUUAUCCUGCACCUAUGAUUAUAUAUAUAGUUAUUAUUAUUCAUUAUAAUUUGUUUUUUAGAAUAAUAUUUAUUUUAGGAUAUUAGUAUAUGCAUUCUAGAUUCAUUGUUAUCCAUUUAAAUAUGGACAUAAAAAUAAAAGCUAGAACGGACUAAGUAUAUUUUAUCGUGGUGUAGGAAUCCUCAGUAAUAACACUUAGACAGUCAGUAGUUUACUCAUAGUUUAAUUAAAACAUUAUUUAUAGAUUACACUAUUCGUAGAGUUUAAUAGUAGAGUUUAAAUGUAGAGUAGAGUUUAAUAGUUUACUUAAAACACUAUUUAUAUACUUUUCUGCACUAUAAACUACACUAUUGUAGAGUUAAAUAUAAGUAGGAUGGGUAAGCUACUAAAGAUAGUCUUGGGUACAAACAAUUCUCAUGCUGCCGAUUCUUGCACUUUAUUUUUUUCUGUUUAUAGGGCCAAAUUUUGUUAUUCUCUCCAUAAGAAAAAACUGUGGCCAUGACCAGAUGAGCUAUCCGCGACUAGUAGUAUAUAGCAUACACUCCCUUUUGUGUAUCCUGCUACUGCCAGUGCUCAAAGAAAAAAAACAAAUGGUACACCGGGACACAUUUAUUAAUGGUCAGUCAUCACAGAUGUAGAUGUUCUUGUUACAGAUAACAAUUCUGGAACAAAAAAUCCCUUUUAUUUACAUGUACUGAAACAAACGGGGGUUCUUGUUGGCGCACAUCCUCACUCAAGGCGCACAUCCUCAAUUACUAUAGCUUAGCCUGCCCAAUGGAAACAGAUCAUGGUAGAGAAACCAAAAUCUGUUAAACUUCCUCGAUGACAAAAGCUGUAGAUUCAUAAUUGCAGGUGACAAGGGCAACCCUCGAAGAGAAUACAGUAGCUGAACAAAUGUAAAAGAAGGGAGAAAUCGACAGCAGCACCUGCAUCCGAGUGAGGACUGGGGCUCUCGCCCUUGAAGCCGUUUGCUGAGUGAGCUGGUAACCUCAACUCAGUGU
rnacentral:lncRNA from 1 species